rnacentral:pre_miRNA from 1 species
UAAGUACUUCCGUCCGGCAUUAAGUGUCGCAACUUUGUCUAGAUACACAUGUAUCUAGACAUGUUCUAGUGUAUAGAUAUGUGUAUCUAGACAAAGUUGCGACACUUAAUACCGGAAGGAGGGAGGACAAU